CUUGGUGCCAGGUUGAGCAGUCAGCAGCACCGCCAACACAGUGGAGGAAGAUCCACUGUACCUGGAGAAUGACAAAAGGCAGACGUCCUGCCCACGGACUACUGGUUAGUGCAAUGAUCCUUGGAUAGCAAGAUUAGAAAAUGUGAGGAAAAGGCAGAUUCAGUAAGCUUGCAUUUUUAAAAUCCCUCUGCUUUUAAAUCCUCAUGUUUUUUAAUAUACCUCACUAACAUGAAGCCUUGUGUUAGACAAAGACCCCAUCACCCGAAACACCACCAGACCCAGAAAACCCCGGAGAAAAAGGCCAGAAAUUGCUUCACAAAUGUCAAUUUUAUUGACACUAGUGCACAACUAAAUACAAUAAUUGCAAAGGAAGUGGAACGUGUCAAACAGAAAUGGUGACAAUGAGUUAGAACUGCAGUUGUUUCAAGGUACUACACUAUUAUUUAAAAAAAAAAAAAUCACAAAAAGAAAAAUGUUAUCACUACAAGUAGGAAUUAGAAGAGAGAAAUUCUGGCAGUCUGUCUAGAGGUUAAAACAUUUCAUGCAUUUGUGAGUUGCUGUUGGAGAGUUGUUUUUUAUUUGUCCACCGUAAUCUGGCAACAUCCGGGGCUUACCUUCAGCUCUCGCACUGUGCGUGAGAUCGGGUGAGGCAGUUAUAAGUGAGAGCAUGCUGGACACCUUGACUUUGCAGUGACGUGGAACAGAAAAAGCAUUCACCUCAUCAUUGAAAGAGUUGGAGCCGAGAAUAAAAGAAGAAACCAGACAGCAUCUGUGAGAACCUACAUGUUGGGUGCCCACCAAAAUGAAAAACAGCUCCUUGGCCAUCAGAAGCCAACUGGGACCAAGUCAGAAAGCCACUCCAAGACAAAUCAGAGUAACCUGAUCUGGAGACUACAUGAAGAUGCAAAUGCACUGCCUCCACUCCAAGUAACACUCCAACACCGGGCGCCGAGAAGAUGCUGAAGGCUUGGUUUCGAGGCUACCAUGCUGUGAUGUCUGUGUCGAGUGGCCAAUCUACACCGAAAUGAUCCUGAAUAAAUCAGAGUCUAUUCAAUGUUUAAAGCUUUCAGGAAAAGAAGAUUUUCUAAUUCUUCCCUAGCAUCUACCAAGACGUUUAAUUGCUUUCACUAGGGGUUAAAUAAAAAAGUUCCUCCUGCUUGAGGUUUCAUCUUUUUUUUUUUUUUUGGAGUGGUGUGCAGUUUAUUUUAUGAAGUGAGAACUUUUUUCAAAACAAGACGCUAUCUCCCCUCCUCCCAAACACACAUAUGGCACAAUAAAUCAGCAUUUACCACUUCUGUUCAUGGGGAAAUGCUUGGAAAUCUCUCUCUAGGUUACUCUAGGAAAUGACAAAGUUGCCCUUUUCAAGGAUAUACCCAAACAGCUAGCACCAGG
rnacentral:lncRNA from 1 species